UAAGCACCCGGAGCGUUGGCAAGACGAGAGGCUGUGGGCAGUGGAGAGGCCAAGUGCCAUGACGAAAUGCCAGGACACGGCUGGUGCGGUGACGGUGGAAAGAAGGGGUACUGGACUGAGUACUGAAGAGGGACUUCCACUGUUAUUCUACAUGUUAUCGGAUUGUUUGAAUUUCUUCUCGAUUGAAAUAAUACGAUUGGAACGAAAGAGCGAAUGAAAACUGUGUUCAUGAAGAAAGUAACCUACUUCACAUACUCUUGCUUCUAAAAGAGAUGUUGAAGAUUAUGGACAAUUUAAAUCUUUUCAUCAGUGAAUCUGGUAUGAAAACUUUUUAAGUGGCCCUAAUAUAUAAUGAAUAAUCUCAGGGCAGAGAUCUGUUUGAAGGAGAUAUGAUUGAUGGUCUAUCAUUCCUAAUUCACUGUUUAUACUGGUAGCGAGCCUACUGGGAAAAUACCUCAUUCAUCAGGGUAUUAGUGAAUUCAACCAACGUAUGGCACCUUCAUUUUAACAAACUAAAGGAGAAAAGCUAAAUGGGGGAAAUUGACAACCAUCUCUGAUUCUAUGAUAAUGCAAUUAGGCUGCUCCUCUCCAGAGCUUUUGCUAAUUCACAAAACAGCUUCAGUCGGCAGGUCAUAAAUAUAUGAUCA